UACAGAGGGGGCAAGCGUUGUUCGGAAUUACUGGGCGUAAAGGGCGCGUAGGCGGCCUGUUAAGUCGAACGUGAAAUCCCCGGGCUCAACCCGGGAACUGCGUCCGAUACUGGCAGGCUUGAAUCCGGGAGAGGGAUGUGGAAUUCCAGGUGUAGCGGUGAAAUGCGUAGAUAUCUGGAGGAACACCGGUGGCGAAGGCGGCAUCCUGGACCGGUAUUGACGCUGAGGCACGAAAGCCAGGGGAGCAAACGGG
rnacentral:rRNA from 1 species